rnacentral:rRNA from 1 species
UACGUAGGGGGCGAGCGUUGUCCGGAUUUAUUGGGCGUAAAGCGCGUGUAGGCGGCCAGGUAGGUCUGCUGUGAAAACUCGAGGCUCAACCUCGAGACGUCGGCGGAAACCAUCUGGCUAGAGUCCGGAAGAGGAGAGUGGAAUUCCUGGUGUAGCGGUGAAAUGCGCAGAUAUCAGGAAGAACACCCGUGGCGAAGGCGGCUCGCUGGGACGGUACUGACGCUGAGACGCGAAAGCGUGGGGAGCGAACAGG